CAAGGUCUCCGUUGGUGAACCAUCUUGGUCAUUUAGAGGAAGUAAAAGUCGUAACAAGGUCUCCGUUGGUGAACCAGCGGAGGGAUCAUUAGAGGUUGGGCCUCCAUUCAGUGGUUAUAUUGGGGGUUGGGUGCAGAGCACCAAAAGUCUUUUUUAUAUCUUUUUUAUUAUUUCAAUAUCAAAACUUUUAGCAACGGAUCUCUUGGCUCUAGCAUCGAUGAAGAACGCAGCGAAAUGCGAUAAGUAAUGCGAAUUGCAGAAUUCCGUGAGUCAUUGAAUCUUUGAACGCACAUUGCACCUCUGGUUCGCCAGUUGGUAUGCCUGUCCGAGUGUAGAUUAUGGGUAUAAUCAUGUGUUGAGAUGGCCUGUAGCCAUUUUCAAAGUCAUAUAAUCUAUUAAGGUUUGUUCACCUUAUAGGAUGACAACGAUCAACCUCGGAUCAGGUAGGAAUACCCGCUGAACUUAAGCAUAUCAAUAAGCGGAGGAAUC
rnacentral:rRNA from 1 species